UACAUUUGCAUCGCUUUUGGUUCCCGAUGUGCUUAUUCGGGAUUAAAAGGGAAUACGGUGUAAAUCCGUAACUGUCCCGCAGCUGUAAGCUUCAUAACGGUGUUCAAAUCAAGGCCACUUUUUCUGAUCCUUAAAAGGGAUUAUGGAUUGGGAAGGCAGAAUUACCGGAAGUAAGUCAGAAGACCUGCCAUAAGCGGUAAUAUUUC
rnacentral:ncRNA from 2 species